AAAACUAUACUUUAACAGAUCAUUUCUAUAGUUCAUUCAUAGAAAAGUUUCUCUUAUUGUUUGAAGUAUCAGAACCCAUGAGGAGGAGGGACAGUGUUCUCCCUGAAUGUGCUGCAGGCUCUUGGUAUCGCUUUGCAGCAAUUGCCACUUGCUAUUGAUAAUCAUUCCUGCUCUCCUUUGGGGGAACAGGAGGGGAGGACGCAGUCUAAGU
ensembl:snoRNA U3 Small nucleolar RNA U3